UAGGGAAUCUUCCACAAUGGGCGAAAGCCUGAUGGAGCAACGCCGCGUGUGUGAUGAAGGCUUUAGGGUCGUAAAGCACUGUUGUAUGGGAAGAAAUGCUAGAAUAGGGAAUGAUUCUAGUUCGACGGUACCAUACCAGAAAGGGACGGCUAAAUACGUGCCAGCAGCCGCGGUAAUACGUAUGUCCCGAGCGUUAUCCGGAUUUAUUGGGCGUAAAGCGAGCGCAGACGGUUGAUUAAGUCUGAUGUGAAAGCCCGGAGCUCAACUCCGGAAUGGCAUUGGAAACUGGUUAACUUGAGUGUUGUAGAGGUAAGUGGAACUCCAUGUGUAGCGGUGGAAUGCGUAGAUAUAUGGAAGAACACCAGUGGCGAAGGCGGCUUACUGGACAACAACUGACGUUGAGGCUCGAAAGUGUGGGUAGCAAACAGGAUUAGAUACCCUGGUAGUCCACACCGUNNCGAUGAAUACUAGGUGUUAGGAGGUUUCCGCCUCUUAGUGCCGAAGCUAACGCAUUAAGUAUUCCGCCUGGGGAGUACGACCGCAAGGNUG
rnacentral:rRNA from 1 species